rnacentral:rRNA from 1 species
AGAGUUUGAUCAUGGCUCAGGAUGAACGCUAGCGGCAGGCCUAAUACAUGCAAGUCGAACGGACUGGAGUAGCAAUACUUCAGUUAGUGGCGCACGGGUGCGUAACGCGUAUGCAACCUACCUUUUAUUGGGGGAUAGCCCGAAGAAAUUCGGAUUAAUACCGCAUAAUAUCAUUUGAGGGCAUCUGAGGAUGAUUAAAGCUACGGCGAUAAAAGAUGGGCAUGCGUGUCAUUAGCUAGUUGGUUGAGGUAACGGCUCACCAAGGCGACGAUGACUAGGGGUUCUGAGAGGAUGAUCCCCCACACUGGUACUGAGAUACGGACCAGACUCCUACGGGAGGCAGCAGUAGGGAAUAUUGGGCAAUGGCGGAAACGCUGACCCAGCCAUGCCGCGUGCAGGAUGAAGGCCUUCUGGGUUGUAAACUGCUUUUAUCUAGGAAGAAAAUACUCUUGCGAGAGGAACUGACGGUACUAGAUGAAUAAGCACCGGCUAACUCCGUGCCAGCAGCCGCGGUAAUACGGAGGGUGCAAGCGUUGUCCGGAUUUAUUGGGUUUAAAGGGUGCGUAGGCGGCUUCAUAAGUCCGUGGUGAAAGCCAACAGCUCAACUGUUGAACUGCCAUGGAUACUGUGAGGCUUGAGUACAGACGAGGUAGGCGGAAUGGAUCGUGUAGCGGUGAAAUGCAUAGAUACGAUCCAGAACUCCGAUUGCGAAGGCAGCUUACUAGGCUGUAACUGACGCUGAGGCACGAAAGCGUGGGGAGCGAACAGGAUUAGAUACCCUAGUAGUCC